ACCUGACACCUGCUGUCCAAGGGACAGGGGUUCCUAAGAGUUUGACAUCACAAGAUCUUUGAAUUCCUGUAAGGGAGCCGAGCAGGCUUCUCUUCUCCCCAAAUCACGUGCACAGGUUUGGAAAUACUUCUGUGCUGGAGAUGCCUGCAUCUGACUUGGUCACCUUGCCCAGCCUGUCCUCUGACGUGGCCCCCGUCCGUGGAGAAUGAUAUUACUCGUAGGAAAAGGUGCCCACUGUUGGAAUGGUUCCAUAGGUGGUUUUGCCCAAAGAUUAGGAACUACAUCGGAGACCCUAAAAAGGAUCUCUUCCAGGCCUGUGGGGUAGUAUGCACACUGUAAUUUUUUUCUAUGAAAUGAUCUGCUUUUAUGAAUUUAUAGUUAUAACAUGAAAAGGGGAGUCUGUAAAGUGAUGGCCUAAGAUGAUUUUCCCCAAUUCGCUCCAGAGUUGGCCCACUUCUCUUUACCUCUAUCUGCUCCCUGUGAUGUCCUCCACUGGCAAGGCAUUAGGCCUCAUGCUGGUUUCUCAGAUGUAUUUUUCCAACCUAUGCCUUUCUCUCACACUAGUCACGCUGAGUGUCCAAAGGGCUUCUCAGCAGUUCGUCUUCCAUCCAGUGAAUGUGCCAAACCCCAGCAGGUCCAGACCUGAACCCUGCUUCUCCCCAGGCUCACUCCCCCUCAGCUUUCUCUGCCAACAACAAACAGCUCUACCCUCCUCAUUGCUGGGGUCCAAACCUGUGGAGGUGGCCAAGGCUCCUCUUCCUCACCCCCCACAGCCAGACAGUCCUUGCAGAGGUCCUGUUGCUCUGAAAUUAUAUCCAGAAUCCAGCUACUUUUAUUUCUGCUUCAGGCAACCUGGACAGAGCUAGUAUCUUCUCUCAUCUUGGAACCAGAUUCCCAUGGUAGCUUGUGAGCUGCCCUCCUGCCUAUCUGUUCCGCUCUGCAUCUCUGAGUCUCCGCAGCCAUGCAGUCAGAGAGGGCCCCUUCCAAGGUGUCCUGUCAUACUGUGUAAUUCCUCAGCCGAAAGCCCAGAAGCCAGCCCCACAGUGAGAUGAUUGGGCACUUCGCAUGCAGGAGCCCAGUUGUCAUUUGCCUCCCUGUGUGGCAGUGACUCUGGUUGGCCUGUCUGCCCCCUGGCUGCUGGCUCCAGCUACUCCUAUCCUGCCGACUUCCUGCGUUGGUUCUAGCUGUUCCCUCUGGCUAACAUGCUCUUUCCCAGGCCUCGGGUCUCACAGCCUAACAUCAGCUUGCUGAGAUGCCACCCUCGAGGUAUGGAAUGUCAUUGAGAAGUACAAACUCUCCCAUGGGAUUUCUCAUCCCUUUUAAUCCCCUUCUUUUUCCUUUUCGUGGUACUUGCUACUCUGUCUCACUCAGUGUACUUACAGCCUGUCGUUGCAAUGCUUUCUCAGCUAGAAUCUUAGCUCACUGUCCAUUGAUGCUUCUUAAGUUUCUUAAUAAUGGUGUUGAAUGGAUAAAAGCUAAGCCUUGGCCUUGUUACUUAUCGCCUAUAAAUCCUGAGUUUCCUUAUCAGCAAAAUGAAAACACUAUGCAUGAUUUGAAGAGUUGUUCCAGGAAUGCAGCAGGUUAAUUGAUGUCUGGUGCAGAGAAGAAAAGCUGCAAAUAAUUACAUUCCAUUGCUGUCUCUCAUUGCUUAAUGGGACCACAGACUUUGAUUAAUGAGACUACUGCAUCAGUGUGAUUUGCACCCCAGAACCUAUGCAGAGGCUCAAUCCCUAAGGUCUUGUGCUAAUGACAUUAAGUAGGUAGACAAGGGAUCCUAGCCUGGUUUUCAGAUGUGAGGUCUUCGGGAAAUGAUUGGAUUAGAUCAUUAGAGCCCAGCCCUGGUUUGAACUUCACAGUUUUAUCAGCAGGAGCCGGAACACACACCGCUAGACACAGGUACUCCUGCCAUGACAGGACACCCCCUGGGCUGGUAUGUUGCAAGAACCUGUACUGUGUUCAGAGUUUUAGUGACAGUAAUGAAAAGCUGGCUCCUAAGAGUGCCCUGCUAUCAAUUUCUACCUAUUUUUGGUUCUUUGAAUUUAUGUUUGAAAAGUUUUAUAGGCUAAAACACUGACAUAUCAAAACACUGACUAGGAAUCCUACUUUCCAAAUAUCCAGACCUAGCCUGCUAUAUGUAUUAUGUAUGUAUAAAAUUUUAUUUCACUAGUUCAUAAAUUCUAGAAACAGAUUAGAUAUUGCAUGUUUAGGAAAUCAAACACAAAGAAGAGAAAUCUUUAUUAUAAACCAUUUUUUCAUAUAACUACUUGCCCCUGUUGAAAUAGCCUUAAAAAUAUCUUUGUUUUUUAUAUGAACCUUCUUUAUUUUUAAUGAUAGCCUGAAUUGUUAUAUUGAUGAGUUUUUUAAUUGAAAGUUCCGUCCAUUUGCCAUUAUAGGCAAAGAUACCUGCAGUAAGGUCAUAUUGCCUUAAAUUACUUCUCUUGUUGCUGAGAAAAACUGCCUGACAUCCAAAGUUAAAGGAGGAAAGGUUUGUGCAGCUCUCAGGUUGUAGGGGUUCAGUCCAUAAUCAGACUCCAAGGCAGAGUGACCUGAAGGAGGGGCAUCACAGAGGAGAGCAGUUCAUGGUGGGCAGACUUUAGCAAAAGCACAAGCAACAAGUGGCAAGUGACAUGUGACCCCAGCAGCCCUCGUUCUGGCCCUUAUGUUUUAUCUAGGCUACAUGGUUUUAGGGCGGUAGCACAAACACUCAUCGUGAGGCACCCUUAAUCUUACCCAGAGCUACACCAACCCAAUCAGUGACUAAGUUAGUAAUCACACACCUUAGAUCCCAGAAUCACACUCUAGAUCUACAUGAGGCUUUCAGGAGAUGUCUAGUCACAAGCCACAGUGUAUAUUCACCUGUUUCUGAAAUCUGUUAUUUUUUUUCAAAGUAGAUAACAAGUUUAAAUAUAGAUGACAGGAUUACAAGAAGAUGAAGAGAAUAAUGGGUCAGUUACACAGUAUCUUCUAAGCACUAUUCAUGAAUUUUAAAAAACAGGAAGAAUUUACACACAUCAUGCUGAUAAGAAACUUUCCAGGCUUCGGAUCUAGAAUGUUCCCCAGGGAUGAAAGACUUUCUCUUUCAAUCACCAUGGAGGUGAUGGACCCGUAAGGAGGUGAAGCCCACUGGGAUGGAAUGAGCUUAGUAAGAGUGUGCUGGUGAGGGAACACUGAGGUCUCUCUUUGUCCCUUGGCUGUCGUGAUGAACAGACCCCCUCCACUGGGUGCACCCCAAUUGGUGUAUUUCCUACCUUAUCACAGUGCCAGAGAGACAGGCGAACAGGCAUGGCCUAAGACCUUUCAAAACACUGACUAAAAUAAAACUCUCCUUAAAAGUUCUUUACCUUGGGUUUCAUAGCAGCAGAAAUCCAACACCCUUAUUAAAACAAAACAAGAACUAUUUGAUAACCAAGAUCACUUUCAUAUGUCUUCUUGAUUCAGAAGUGUUCUCAAAUAAAUUCAUUCUUUUAAACUAACUUUCAAGUAAAGGCACAUUUUAUUCACUCCUGAAAAAUGACAACAAAAACACCUUUCAUGCUAUGCUUUUAAAACUUCAAGAUUUAUUUGAAAGUUAUUCACAUACCUAUGUGAAGCUCAGAAAGGGAAGUUAAUUUAUCCUGGGUAUCAGAGUUGAAAGAGAAGAGAUAUAGCGUUAUUUUACCUUUAAUUACCUAUCACAACAUUAAGGCUCCAGCUCCCCAGACUAGGGUGCUACUCAGUGGUGUUACUCAGUACUUAGUGUGUGUGAGGCCUUUCACUUUAGCGCCAGCACCCCCAAAAAACAAAUAAACAAACAAAAAACCUGUGGGUGAAGUUGCACAUCAGAGAGAGAAAGCAGAUUGUGUUUAGAUGUAGACAUACAUGUCUUGGUUACUUUUCUCUCAUUGUUGAAACAAAAUACCUAAAGCCCAAAAUUAAGGAAGCAAAGCUUUAUUUAGCCUACAGUUUGUGGAGGUCUCAGUCCACACUCAGCUGGCUCUAAGGCAGGGAGCAUGAUUCCAUUCCAUGCUCAGUUAGCUCCAGCACUGGGAAGCGUGGCACAAGAGCAAAAAGGUUCAAAUGGGGAAAGUACCCGCUUUCCCUCCCUUAUGCUGUAAGCCAGCUCCCUGCACCUGGGUGGAUGCAGUGCUCAUAUCACAAGUACCAUUGCUAGACAAGGGGCCAAUCACAAAUGCAAGCCUCAGCCACUGCUUGAGGCUUGGGGGGACAUCCAGACACAAACCAUAUCAAUGCCCAUAGAGAACUCUAGCUGCAGAUUAGAAAAGGGAUCCAAAUGGGCUAUUUUAGUACUAGACCAGGCUCUUCCCAACUCCAAAAUGACCUUAAAGAUUAGCUAAUAGAUUAAUGUCUUUCAUUCAAAUGUCUUUCUUUUCAAAAAAGAUAAUAAAAAUACUAAUGAUUAUUGUUAUUGAGGAUGUAAUGCAUCAUUUUCAAAAUGCUAUGCAAAUUACUUUAAAUGUAUUAUUUCCUCAACAACUUUGUGGGAUCAGUUCUACUCUUCUUUACUUUACUAACCUAUUAGAGACAUAUGUCUGCUUCCAAGUACACCUACAUCAGGAAACUGGCUCAUCAAAAUACUUUGUGAUGGCAAAGAGUACAUACAAGAACAUUUGAUGAUAACUGAGUAACAUUAAUAUUCAACCUAAGAACUGUAUUAUUUGUGAUGGUCCAGUAAGCUCAAGGAAUAUGAAGUAUGACCAGAUUCUUCUUACAUGUGAAUUUGAGCGCUGUGCUCUGCCUCGCUGAACUGAAGAAACAAUUUGGAGCAAACAGACCCUCAGCUUAGCAUCUACCCUUCUGCCAUCUGUUUACUCCCCAUCAGGGAUCUCUCUGUGGCUGGAAGUAUAUGCACUUCAAAUAACCUGCAAACCUGCAGGGCUGGGGUACAGCUCGGUGAUACACAGUUGUCUCUCAUGUGCAAGUCCCUGGGUUCCACCACAGGUACAAAUAGAAAUUGUAAUGCUUUGUCACAACUUUCACUGAAGAAGUGCCCAUAUUACAUGGUACAGCAUUUAGAUAAAUUAUACUUAUAGCUGAAGUCCUUCACAAAAAGAGAGAGAGAGAGAGAGAGAGAGAGAGAGAGAGAGAGAGAGAGAGAAACCACCUCCUGGUGUAAACCUAUUAUACUGUGUUUUAAGAAUGUGCCUUGUAGGGGCUGGGGAUUUAGCUCAGUGGCAUAAGCACCUGCCUUGCAAGCAGGCGGUCGUGAGUUCGAUCCCUGGUACCGGUAAAAAUGAAAAAGACAUAAAAAAAAAUGUGCCUUGAAAACAAAUAAACACGUUGAUUAUUCAGUGUUAUAAAGGUUGAUUCAAAGUUACUUAUAUCAAUAUCCUAGAUUUUAACAGUUUGUAUCCCUACAGAUAUCACUAAGUGAUUGCCAUGUUCAGAUCAGUGUCUGGGAGAUGUGUAUUUUUUUGUAGUUAGCAUGUGACUGUUUAUAGCCAUGCAUUUCUCUGAAGCAAUGCUGAAGGCAGGCGGAGAGGACUAGUAACACAAGCCCAGUGAUCUUCCAAUCAGACAGAAUCUCUUGUGAAAGCAGUUCUCAGUGCGUGUAGCAGUUUUAGUUACCUCUUGAGGCAAGCUUAGAAAUGACCCUCAGUGUGGGGAAGACCAUGGCUUUUUUCACCACAGUGCCACAGGUCUCAAAUGUUCACAGCUCUUGCUCUGCUCUCCAAAGCAGACUUAAAACUUCAGUUGAAUAAGCACUCAAGAAAUCUAUCUUUGAAAACUUGCCAACAACAUCAGUCUUGAUUUUGCUAUUAUCUCUUGCUUUCAAGAUCCAAAUACACAAUUAAUAUCAGAGAACUAUUUUCAUAUUACAAUUGAUUCCUCUCAGUUUUUCAGUUGAACUAAGAAUCAGGUGUGGUAUGCUCUGUCAGGAAAUUUGUCAUCAUUUUGUUUAUAUCCUGAGGCCUUAUGGGAGACUGAGACUGAGUGCAGAAUAAUUAAUCUGGUGGAGGAAAUUUUAAGGCAGACCAAUGUUUGGGCUGUGACUUGAGUACCACGGGAGCUUUUAAUCAGCUCUAAACUGAGAAUCAAGUCCAAAGGGCAUUGCUAAGUUUGACGAUUAUCUUAUUCAUUAGUUCCAAUAAACUGAACUCUAUUACUUUUCUAGUUUUUAUUUCAUAAAUUGAUGAAGCUUAAUAUUUAGUUAUUGUAAGUUUAUAAAGAGAAAUAAUAGAGGGUUAAAAUAAUAUAUCAAGAACAGUAUUUUUAAUGUAAGAAUGUUACCAGUUAAAUUUAAAGGAAUACUAUGUAGCAGAUUUUAAACUUAAUUUUCUUUUAAUGAAAAGAGUUUUUGUUAUCUAAUAUGCCUCUAGCAUUAAUGAUACGUGAGUCUCAGAUAAAAAUUUGUAAGAAAUGGGUGCUAAAUGUAAGUGUUACAAUGUAGGAGGAGGAAACAUCAGCUAUUGCUAAAUCAGUAUGGUAUAAGUUAUCAUAUAUCAAUCACCAGUGCUGUGGUGUACUUGGCUUCCAUAGCGCACUCAGGAAAGAUUUCUCAGAAGAAAUCACUGGGAUAAACUUUGCAACACAGGAAUGUGCAGGAUCAAAGGCCUUUUGAUAUAAAGAUUUUCGUUCUGAAUUCACAGAUGAUGAACAUUUCAUUCAAGUACAAUACAAAUAGGUACUCCAACACUGUAGGCAUGGUUGGAGUCUGUAGGGAAGAAGAUAGGAAAAGAUAAAAACAGACAGUUAAUGAAAACACUGAGCACCAUGCUAAAGAGUUUAUUUUCCUGUUCUCUGAAGAUUAUGAAAGCCAUUAAAGAAUGUUAAGGAGGAGAUGAAGCAUGAGGAGACUUACCAUUAAACAGUAUGACUAACAAAACCACAUGCUAAUUUUGAAUUAUUUCCAAAUAUUAAAGAAUUUCACUACAGUAGGCUAAGCAAACAUGCAAUGAAUUUUCUCUGACAAUCAAUCUGAAGUGACUUUGCCAUUCUUAAAUAGCAUACCACCUUUGUUUCAGUUCGGUACUACAUUAGUUUCUUUUCACUACUUAAAAAAAACAAUUGGUUUAAAAGACUAUUUGUGGAAUAUUUUAAAAAUGGAAAUAUCUCCUUUAGUGAUUUUUGUACAAAACUUGAGUAUCACACAUUGUCUUUAUCCUUUCACCUGAGAACUAGGUGCAUAUUGAUGCCGUUGUUAAAUAAUCAUUAAUUUGUACUUAAUCUAAGUAAACAAAAUAAUGCAUAAGUUGCUAACAGUUUCACAAGAACAGCUGCUUCAACAGUAACUAUUAUCAAGAAGCAUCCACCUCUACUGAUAUAUUUUAUUAUUAUUAUUAUUAUUAUUAUCAUUAUCAUUUAACUUUCCAUUACAAUGACAAAGUAUCUGAGAAAAACAACUGAGAAGGAGCACAGUUUUAUUUUGCCUUACAGUUUCAGAGGUUUCAGUUGAUGGUAACUAGCCUGUUGCUUUGCUUAUGGCAGCACAGAACACUGUGACAGAAACGUGGCCCAAGACCUUUUCACCUCAGGAAGCAAAGGCCACCGAUUGCUUUCUCCAAAUAGACCCCAUCUCUCAAAGCUUCCACCGUCUCCUAAUAACAUCAUGGGAUGUGGACCAAGCCCUUAACCCAGAGACCUCUGGUGGACGUUUCAGAUCCAAACUGAAGCAAUGGAACUGAGAAUAUUUGAGCCACCAGAAACUCGAUUGCAGAACAAAAGAAAAGUGUUUUUAAAUGCAGAGAGGCUUGUAUUAGGAUCAAAGGAAGAAAUUUUGCAGCGUCUGUAGAGAAUCUUUUCCAAAUGAUUAAUGAAUCAAAGGUGGUUUCUUCUGAGUGCAGUGAUACAUGCAGGUAACCUCAGCUUGGGGUCUGAGGCAGAAGUGUCACAAAUUUACAGCCAGCUUAGGCAACUGAUUGAGACCCUUCUAGAGUUAAAAGUUUGACUCAAGGAAGCAAGCAGCUUAGAGCUCCCUGGAUUCAACCCCCAGUACCAAAACAACUAAACAAAUUGGAUUUCAUCUACUUAAUUUUAGAAGUAAUCUAUAAUGAAGUCAGAAGGGCUAUUUAUUAUAAAAAUCUUAUCGCUAAUUUUAGGAAAUACCCUGGUAAAUUAUAUAUUUAAACAUCAAGAAGACAACAUAUUUCUCUUUUUUCUGAUAUAGAACAUACAUGUAAGAAAACAAACAUCAAAAAAACCUUAGUCUAUAGCUCUUAGAAAAUUAUACUUUUUUAUUUGUAUGUUUGUUUUGGCCAGUUAUCAAGUGAAAUACAAGAAUUUCCAGAAGGAGUUCUUUAUUUAUUUGCAUUCCAUUUUGGUUAGUAUAAUUCUUAGAGAAAUUAUGUACCACUGAUUGAAUUAAUUGUUUCCAUUUGGAAACCAAGACCAGAUAUCUCUAUUAGACUCCAAAUCAGGGACAGUGUAACUCAUGAAACAGCUAAAAACAGUCCUGGAUUCAUUAGGCUAAUGAAAGAGUAUGUUUUAAAAUUUGCAGUGUUUGGUGUUUACUGAAGUUCUAUUGCUUUCAUUAUGCAUGCUUAAAUGCUGCUUUAAAACAAUGUGUAACUGCAAAUGAGAAUUGAUCCAGAAGAUGAAAAAAGCAUGGGGGAGGGGAGGAAGUAAGCCAACAUUUAAUAAGGUCAAAAGAAACUAGAAUGUUCAUGUUAGCACGAAACUCAGUAAACCUAAUACUACUUCCAUUGUUUCUGAAGCAAUAUAUUUCAUUUCUCUGACACUGAGAAGUAGACAGAAACAUAUUUUAAGGAAUAGGCCUCUUUAUUCUCUGGUUCCUCUUCAAAAAAAUGAAUAAGCCUCUCCAUUUUCACAGUUAAUCAGGAUAACAUUAUGUUGUCAGUAAAUAGGGCAUGAUGAUUUGACUGUUUUAGCUUGACCAGAUACAAAAUUAUACUUGUACAGCUCUUCAAAUACACAAAUAUAGAAAAAAUUUCUUUAUCUUAACUAAUUCAAAAGUGAGGAUAUUGAUUACUCGUAACAAAACAAAAUAUAAAAAUGGCUAAACGUUGCAAAAUCUUUGCACAUAAAGUGUGUUAAUUCCUGUUUGAAGCCACUGCAUUUGUUGAUUGAAACACAAAUGGCAUAUAAUAGAGAGUCUAAGACUAUUUUGACACUUUUGCAAUAAUACAUUUUUAUGGUAAGGGUGACUUUUUAAAUUAGCAUGAAAAAAAUUAAUCCAUAGUGGGUUUGGAAAAAUUGAGUCUAUGCUUGGAGAAAAUAAUAAGAAUGUCUGUCAAAAAUGGCACCAAAAUGAACUCCAUAUAGAUUAGAAUCUGUUAAAAAGUAAAAAAAAAAAAAAAAAAAAAAAAAAAGAGGAAACCUUUGGGUCCUCAAACUUAUAUAUGUAGUAAGUGUGAUACAGAGGUGGUACAUCUCCAAAGAGGGAAUGUUAUUUAAUUAUCAGUUUAGAAGAAGUCACAAAAUUAGACAAGGAAUAACUUUCAGAAGGCCCAUCAGUAACCACAAAGUAUGACGGGUAACAAAGUCUGUCUCCAUGAGCAGAAUUAGGGAUCUAUUAGGAAUGUUCUCCUCAAGUCAGGAAAGAGUGAUCUAACCAAGGAAUGCAGCCACAAGACUUUCAGCAAUGCUUGGAAACUGCUGAUAUAUGAGUUAGAUAGAAAAUCAUCAACCCUUGUUUCAGGGUUGUUCAGCUAAUAGCUCCUGUUCCAGUUCUGGCUGCUUCUGAUCUCUUAGAAACAGCUGGUCACUAUGAUUCAUAGCUGGUCACUAUGGUGCACAUUGUAUAAACCAGUCCCCAGUUGACAAGCCAUUCUGCCUCUGUACCUUCCUGUUUGCUUAUCCCAUAUAAGCCGUGGACCACCAGAAAUCUGAAACUGAUAUUCUGGGGAUGAUUUUUGUGCCCUUCCAUGUAAAUAAAUCCGUCUGCAAAUCCUGGGUGUCAUUUCCAUGUUUCUGCUUGCCACUGCAUGUGGUGCAUUGACUGGGAAGACCAACCAUGCUGACCUCUUUGGUCACCAGUUAUGGCACUCAUUGCUGAAGCAAGAACUUCUCCAAGUCCUGACAGGAAGGCACACCUGCAAGAUUUCUCAAGUCCUCUCUGAGGUCUGGUGGAGGACUCCUGGUUUCCCACUUGAGCAGCUCACAUUGAAUCCCAAAAGGAGAAGGACACAAUCUGUCUGUUUGUAUGUCUGCAUGCCUGCCUGAUUCCAGUAAGACUCCUGGGGGCACCCCAGUUAGUUUGUUAGUCUUGGUCAGCUCAAGCAGACAGGGAGUCUGAGCAACUCUUGUUAACUAAAGUCACCCUUAAGGGAAGGGAAGUUGGAAUGUUUAACCUCUGAGUGCCUGCUGACUGAAUGUGUGAGUGAGUGGAACAGAAACAGUAAGCAAAAGGCUGCUUCAUCUAUGCACGAAGACUGGAAAACCCUGGUCACAGUGGCUGGUUUGACUUUCACCUGUGGUUCCAUGGUGAUUAACAAGUAGCAUAACAGAGGCCUCAAACUCUUCUUAACUUCUUCUUAAGCCAUGCCUAAGUCCCUGUGGUGAAGGGUGCAGCCAAAUAGGCAUCUGAAUGGUCUCUUUCUGAGAAGUGCCCACCCUCAUCUGUUGUGUCAUUGUUCAAGAGUACACAACACCCUCAAUAGGGAGAUAGAAUGGGUUUCAGCAGAGUAAACCAUGGUCUUUGAUGUUAAAAUUGCCCAUUGACUUUGACUAUGUAAUGAAAAUAAAACCUCAAAAGUUCCAUAGAUUUUGUGAAAUUAAAUGGUCAAAUCUUAGUUUGGAUUGGUCAUCUGAAGGGAAACUUGAUGCUAAAAUUUCCCAUCAAGUUUGGAACAGAAUGAUAAAGCCCAACAAACAUGGUCAUCCUCACCAGUUUCCUUAUAUUGCCUCCUGGCUCAAUCUGUGUCAGAGCCUGACACCAUGGCUCCUCACUUGUGUCCUGUAUCUCAGAAAACAAGACAGAAAAAGAGGCCCAUUCUGCCUGAAAAUUCUACCUUGGCAUCCUCGUCAGCCACCACAGUUGUUGCCAAUACCUGUGACUUCACUACCUGACCCCUUCUCAUCUACUUCCAGCAACUGAACUGGUUCCAAGUAAUCACUGCCUGCAUUUUGCCACACAGACUCUGCCCUGAGAUGACUGUCAGAAAUUCUUUCUGGGCUCCACAUUCUGGUGAGGAAAAAUUGGACUGACUUCCUGAAAAAUGAGGCCUGAAUAGAUAGGACAGAUCAAGCUCCAUCAAAUUGGGUCCCUGAGAGCCUGCACUCUUGCAAACUUUGGGACAAACCUGUGACUUUCCUGAUAGACAAUGAAACAGAACUCUCUACUUUCAAAAGUUCCUUCUAUUUAAAAGUCACCAUCACCAGUGCAACUAGAACACUCGUGUCUCAUUCCUUCUUUCAGGCACAAACUCACAACCUGGCAAGACAUCUUCUUUCACCAUCCAGUCAGCCUACCACUUGCUUAACCCUACACUUUCAAGUUGAACUGUUACCCAAGAGAAAGGUGAUGCCUGCCUCAGCCUGAAACAGAUAACUACAAUCUUGAAGUUCUGAAAACUUUCCUCCCAGAGGGACAAACUAAAGACUCAACUCUGGGCGUGGCCAUCAACCAUGCCACUUUACUGUGACCUCCAUUCAUAUCAGAUGUCACGGGAAGUAAAAAGAGACAUCCAGCCACACAUCAGCCUGAUAGACUGUUAAUCAUCUUGGGCAACAUCUCCCAGCUGCCAAUGCCACCACAAUUACCCUCCGUGUAUAUUGCCUUAGUCCUCUGUCAUGCACAGCUUGCUGAUACGCCUGCAUAGACCUAAACAAUAAUUUCUUCUGCCUUCUCUUCGUUCCUGCCAGCCAGUUCUUUUUUGCAAAGACCCUCAUUCUGGACUCAAAUGUUAAACAAUAUGGACUCAACCUGACAGAGGUUCAAAAUCUUGUUUACCCACUUUGAAGAAGAUCACUGUACUUAUGAUUGGUGGAUAAAAAAUAAAUUCUGUAAAUUUCUUGGAGCUGCUAGCUUCUGUAGAAUCUGGAUCCUUGAGUUCACAAAAACAAUGAUGCUUACUUACUCUGACACUCAGCACAUGGGAGUGCCCAGUGUCCUACCUGUGCAACACUUGGAUCCAAUCAUUAAGGGCUGUUCCCCCACUUUGUCUCUCACAGCCACUGUCCUUCUGAUGAAAAAAGCUGACAAGCUCACUUUAGGGCAAGAUCUAACUGUCCAGGUGUCACACACUGCACUGAUGCUGAGUACAUACUGUAGACAGAUGGAUUUAGCUCUGUUAGAAAUGAAGUCUGACAGGCUAAAUGUACUUAGCCAAAGCUGCUUUGGCCAAAGCUUUCCUGCUACUGCUUACUGCUGCUUCUUGGAAACCUGUAACCAACAAUGCCACUGCAUGCCUAAGCCCCCUCUAAGACAUCAAAUGACUGAAACAUCAGCCUAUGAGUCUGCAUCUGAGCUCAGGUCUACAACUGAAGUCAUUAUUUUCUGUUCCGGCUAGUUGCUGUACAGUCUUCUCAUCUUAGUGAUAUAAAGUUCCUGUGGUCACAGACCCACUCCUGUAUCUUCUCUCCCACAAAGUAGGUCACAUGAAUAAAGCAAUGUCGACCCCACGCUGGUGGAUGAAAUAUUUUGUAAGUCCUCAUCAAUGAUAUUUUCUGAGUCUCUACUUGUGAAAAACACAAAAUCUCACCCUGAAUGUGUGUAUUUCCCUGCUAAAAUUAUCCAUUGGUUCUCUAACAUGGAGGACCCUGUACUAUCAGCUCAUUCACCAAUGCCAGGUGGAGCUCCUCAAAAUGUCCUACAAUGUGAUGAAUAUUGCAUUGGUUCUGCUUCUGGAACACUCUGUUCUUGACAGGAAGAGUGACUUGGUCUUGGUAAAUAGGAGCCCACACUCUUGUGCCCAUGCUGAGUCUUUAUUCCUACAACCAUGAAUAUUUUGCUCCUGCAUCCUUUGAAAGGGAACUUGGCUGGCUGAUGACAGAAGUUGGUUGAUGUCAACUGCCUGGGUAAUUUUGUCUAUUUGCUUGUUUAGUGCCUCUUUCUGGUGGAUAUUCUCUUGAGGUCAUUAACAUGUGACACAGAUUUUCACACAUAAUCUCCAUCUCAAUAUGCCCACUCAUGUUUCUCUCAAGAAUUACUUCUCCUAAUUACUUCCAAUUUCACCUUUCCCGGCUCCUUAACUGCCACUGACCGUGAAUCCACACAUAGCAAAACUUAGGCUUGUGAGCAAAAUUCAUUCUAGACCCAUGUUUGUAAUACAAAGUACCUGGAUAUCAAAGUGAAUUUUCCCAUAAGAGAAAGUAGAGACUCAGAUAAUUCAUUCCAAAAUAGUCAUGUAAAAAUGAUUACAUACUCUAAGGCAAUACAAAAAUAAUAAAAAUACAAAACAUAAAGAAAAAUAAAUUAACCUGCACUUACUUUUGAAAAUCUUUGUGACUUGUAUGAGAGAGAGAAGACAGAGGAAGGUUGUUUUGUUGGACAACGUCCUUGUCACUAAGGAAAUGCCUACUAUGUGCUGAUUUAGUGGAACCUUGUUCUUUCUGUAAAACUUUAACAAGGAACCUCUCCAGUGACAUUUGAUUUUGCCUCUUUUUGAGGAUUUUAGGAAAUGUGACAUUGUGUUGUCAUUAAAUCAUAUUCAUUUAUAUAGCCUUAUUCAAGUGCUGCUUUACCAUAUUUGAAAUGAAGGAUUCAUCCAUAUUUUUCUCCUCCUCCUCUGCAGAUGAGAAUGCCUUAACCUCUUGCUCUUGGGAAAUUAUCACUUAUGAUCCUUCAAAGGAGAGAGAGAGAGAGAGAGAGAGAGAGAGAGAGAGAGAGAGAGGGCAUUCAGUUCAAUUGUGAUCUUGUGACAUUCAGUGUCACAUACUAUUCCUAUGCAAGAAAAUUCUCAUACUUCUCUAUUUUCAAUUUAAAAUGAGUUAGAAAUGUUUGCUUGUCUUGCGGAAAACUUACAGAAUAAGUUAUUUGCAAUCCAAGGUUUUAAUGCAUUUCUAAUUCAAAGCCAUUUCUCUUUUUAGAUAAAACUGAUGACCAGCUACCUGGCCAAAAUUCUGCUCAUUAGGAAGAUUUUUCUCUCAUGUAUCAUGCUGACCAAACCUGGAGUCAGGCUUGGAAUGUUUCCUGCUUGUCUAUUAUUCAUGCUGGAUUGCAGGGAGUUCUGAGCUGCAUCAGGCUUGAUCCUCAAGAUGCACCUGCACUUCCAGUGGAGCAUUGCUGUUAUCUGAGUUCAUUACACAACAGUAAUGGAUGAUUGCUGCAUUUGACCUCAUUAUGUAGUAGAUUUAAUGGAAUCCCACUUAUAAUAAGUAAUUCUGGCCAUGUAGUCAGUUCUCUAAUCAAUCAUUCCCUGGACGACAGUAACACACCAGAAACUCUCACAAAGGGUACAUAAUCAUCUGCUUAAAGUGGCACCAUAUUGGUCCAUAGUCUUGAGGCUCUUUGUGCCUCCUUUCAAGAUAUUCCAUAGAAACUCCUCACACCCCCUCUUGCUGCUGACACAUUGCCUGUCACAGGGAGCAUGCUAGGCCUCCUGCAGAGCCCUGUUCUGCUGUGGGUCCAUUUCAAUGUCAAAUAAAGAAAUUAAGUAGUUACUCUUGGAUCAUGUGAGGUAAGACACAGUAGUAUUUCCACCUAUGACACUUGGUGCCUCCUCAGCACAAAUUCAUCUUCCUCAGAUUUUUCUUUCUAUGUGGCAGGAGACACUGAAUAGAAGAAUCUACCAUUUCAAUUGCAGAGUAAAGGAAAAUUGCACCCUUCAAAUGUUAGUGGUGUGACAAAAGCCUUAAUUCUGGGGACUUUCAUUUCCCACACGUGGGAGCAUCAAGGGGUUUAGUGUGCCCCUCACUGCUCACAGAUCCGGUCCACUUAGGGUAAUGAAAUCAACAUAGUAGAGCAGGAUGUUGUGUGGAAUAUCUAGACAUUCAGAUGGCUUGGAACCAUAUCAUGACCCAGGGCAAGGGAGUUAACAUAGUCCCAGGGCAAAACUAAAAGUGUUUAUUAAUGUCCCUCCUCUGCCAAGUAAACACAGACUCUUUACGAUCCUCUUUUCUCUUUGGAGUGGGAAAGAAGGCAUCAAUCAAAUCAGUGGUCAUCUGCCCCGCACCUGUUGCUUUAGUCUAGCGAAGGAGACCACAUCUGGCCCGGCAGCUGCAGCAGGCUCUACUUCUCGGGGGACUUGCAGUAGUCGCAGCUGUCAUCCUCCAGGCAGAGAGCAGUUGAUCCAGCUCUGAAAUCACAUUUUCACCGCUGCUUUUGUAGCACUCCUGGCAUUAACUGCUGCAGUUUGGCUCUCCAAGAAACCGGAGCCUGAGACACCGAUUACUUGCAGACUUUUAUAGAAGAGUGAUCCUUGGAUUCCACAACUGUGGGAGGCUGAGAAAGGAGCCAGGACAGAGCAGAGGAAGACACUGAGCUGACAUGCAAUCCCAACAAAGCUUCUGUGGAUUCCACGGAGAAGGCUAGAGUUCCGAGCUGUCCUGCGUUGAGGAGGGGGCCACGUCUUUCCCUGCUAGAGUGGGGAGCACACAUAGCCCAGGAGUGAGCAUGAGCUCGAAAGAUGUGAUCAAAUAAUUUGACAGAUUUUUCAGUGUGAAAUUAACUUGGCAUAUGGGAAAAUUUCAUCUGGUAUUGAUUCUUUUCCAACUCAGGCCGUGGAUGCAAUCGCCUCUCUAAUUCAGCCCCAAAAGUCCACAUCAGGAGUGCAGCGGUGCUGGGCUUCUGCAUCCCUCCCAGCUUCUGCUGUCAUUGCUUCUCCCGACCACUUGGUGUCUCUGCUGACAGCCCCACCCCACGGUGGACAAGGUGCUUGAGGGGCCACUCCAAGGACUGAGGUCUUCCAGAAGGAAAUGAACAGUGAUGUCUACCGGCUCAGAUUCCCCGAAUCCAGCUAUGGUCUGUGCUUGUGGUACUCUGCAGUUUCUACCAUCCCUAGAGGCACUGUUUCAAAACACUCUGCCAAGAGUGUUUGCAGCUCUGAGCCUGUGUCCACACACUUAGAGGUUUAGUGAUCGCCCCUGUAUGACUCUGAAAACUCAGAGGAUGCUAUGCACCUUCUUUCCAGUUCACCUGCCUAGCUGGAGGAGAGUUAAUGAGUUCAAUAUCCUGGAUCUAAAGCCACCGGAAACAUGCAAGAUGCUUGCUUAGCCCCUUCACAAAACCACCAGCAAGCAACUCUGUGGGUCUGGCACAGAGACAGCACCCUACAGUGAGAUCUCAAGGACGAUGAUUUAUCCUGAAAGCUUACCUCAGUAACUUCUUGCAUUUCUACCGCGAAGUUAAAAAAAAGGAAAACACAUAGAAUCUUAAUUUAGGGGGUGUAUAUAACAAUGAAACAUUAUCUUGUUAAAUUUACCUUUAUUCUAAGUAGCACUAGCACGCAGAAAAACUGUUACAAUCUUAGGAAAGCACUUUGGGUAUUUAGUUUCACCAGGGAGAGGAUGUCACAGACUUGCUUCCACAUCAUAAAUGACGUCAUUCUUCAAACUUUUCCUCAGGUUCAGUCAUUUGUUCAUUUUUUAAUUCUUUCCUGAUAUCUUCUAGUUUGGUUACAUCAUCUAAAAAGUGUAGUGACCGAGAGUAGCCACAACAUUCCCCCCUAAAAAUAGCUCAUGAAUGCGUAAUAUAGCAGAAAGAUCAAUUCCAAAUGCUCCAUGAAUUAUUCAUUGUAAUAAAUUCCAGAAUCGUGGUGUCUUGGGGUGUGCAUCAAGACUUUAGUUUUGUGCUUCUAUGUGUAUCUAGUUGUUCCUUCCAAAUUAUAUUCCUCUGAUAAUUUUUUAUUCUGACACCAAUAUUUUUGCUAAUAUUACUUUGAUUCUUAUUUUAACAUUCCAGAACAAUGGCAAGAUUUCCAGAUGCUCAAUCAUCCCACAUCUCAACCCCUUUCUAUACUGUAUGUUAUAUGGGCUUUUCAGUUUAUUGAGAUUUAAAAGAACUUUUUUCCCAACCAUAUAAUAACAUGAAGAAAAGCACUGCUAGGAUGAUAAUUCACAGGAUCCUUCUAAUUCUGAGAUAAACUUAUUCCUAUCCUCUGCUUUAGCAACAAUGAAACACUUGUGCAAACAAAAACUCAAUUUUAUAAAAGCAUCUUUCGACAGUGGGCUAUUAUUACAGUGUUUCCUUUUAGAUUUGUGUACUAAAACAGCUUCCCUACUUGGAAGCAAAGGCUGAUCAAACAUCCAUUCAUAUUCUUUAGUACACCUUACUUACCUUCAGUCAUGUAACUUUUAUAGCUUGGCACACUGUUGGGAAAAUAAAUUACAUUUGACUGUUCUCAUGCAGUUCAGUGAAUCAAAUGCUUUCCAAUUCAUGAACCUUAAAAUGAAAUUUAAAAUCAUCAAACAAAGCCCAUAACAAGUAAAGCAAGGGUUUGGCAAGUAUAAAGAAAUAUAUACAAAAUUAAUUAAUGAUCAAAACUGGAUUAAAAUUAAUUGUGCAUAAAAAUCUAAGGGUUUUUUUUUCCUUAGGCACAGAAUAAACUCAAUUUCUCAGUUCAAGUAUUUUAAUGAAAUAAAGAGUUGACUUUCAAUCAUGCAGAGGAGUUUUAAGUCUAUGAACUUAAGAAGCAAAAAUUCGCAGCUUUAGAACCAAAAAAUAGUGUUUUAUUCGUAUUUAGCAAUUGAUCACAAACACUUGUAAUGAGACUUAAACGAACUGAUCAUUAUAUUCCGUUGUAGUCCAGGGAGGCGCUGUCAGUCAGCGCUUUCCUGUGGUCCUACCCCCCCCCCCCGCCCCCAGCUCCCAUCUGCCCUUCAGCUCUGCUUCACGCAGAUGGAAGGGAACUCAUGGCUGCCUCCUUCCCACUGCUUCCCAUUCAUUCCUGCCCUUGGGUGUCCUCCUGAGAGUCCUGGCAUUUGUUGUAUUUCCUGGUUCAGAAAUAUUUACUCUUAAAAUCAAAAUUUUCUCCCGUGUCAGAAAGAAAUAAAUUGUAAGACUUAAUGUCUACAUUCUGUGGAAGACAAUUCUCUAGAAAUAAUCACUCAUGAGAAAUGACACAUCCCUCACCAUACAUAUGUGGGUUCUAAAGCCAGAGUGUGACCAAGUUAGCAGUUAAGGAGGGAAAGAAGAAAAGAAAGACGAUGGGAAGAAAUCGAGCUAAUGAUACAGAAAAGGAAACUGUUAGCAGAAUAAAUAAACGAGGCCAGCACACAAAGCAGAAAUAGAUAUGAUUAAAUUAUUCUUGAGGUCUUCUGAAUAUUUCAUUGUGUAGUAAAUUUAUCUUUGCAUAAAGUACUGCAUUUAAAAAUAUUUACACAGGGCAGAAGAGACAGGGAAACACUCAUCUGUGGGAUAUGGUUAAAUAGGCGGGGAAGGAGCUUUAAUGUGUUAUUUCCCAUAGAGUGACUAUACAUCAAAAUAAUUUACUGCUUAUUUCAAAAGAGCUGGGAAGAUUUUGAAUGUUUUCACCAAAAAGAACUUCUUGAGGACAGACAUAUAAAUACAAAUAUACAUGUAUUGAAACGUACAAAUUUUCUAUGUAUCAGUUAAAAUAAUUUUAAAAUAAAAUAUUUUUGUAUAAAAUAUGUAAAUUGUUAAAAUGUAUAUAAUGAGGUGUAUUUAGUGUCUCUUCAAAAUGCAAUUUAAAUAAUUGCACUGAAAUUAUUUCUUCUUUUUGAGUGUUUGUCAUUGAGAUGUCAUGUUACAUUUAAAACUGAUUUUAUGCUUUGACAAAGGUACCAAACAUGUUUACUAGUAGAAAAAUAGCCUGUUUAAUAAAUGGUGCUGGAAAAAUUGGCUUUCUCCAUGCCAAAGACUAAAACUAUUCCCAUGCCUAUCACCAUGCACUAGGCUAAAGUCAAAGUGGAUCAAAGAUCUAAAUAUUAAGACAGAAACACUAAAUCUACUAUAAAACAAAAUAGGUAGAAAUAUCAAGGAAGUAGGGGUAGACAGAGAGUUCAUGAACAAGAUCCAAACUGCACAGGAAGUACUUCAAAGAAUCAACAUGUGGGAUCUCAUCUCAUUAAAAAGUUUUGCACAUCCAAAGAAAUCACCAGAUUGAGAUAAAGAUUUCUGCCCACUGUUACUCAAAGGAUUUCUGGAAUAUAUAAAUAAGUAAAAAAUCAGGUCCCCUCAAAUUCAAAGACCCAAUCCAAAACUGGACAUCUGAGAUGAAUACACAAUUCUCAGAGGAAGAAAUACAAAUGACAAAUAAAUACAUGAAAAACAGUUCAUUAUCAUUGGUCAUUCAAGAAAUGCAAAUUAAAAUGGCAUUGAGAUGUCCUCUCACUCCAGAAAGAAUGACUGUUACCAAGAAAGCAACCUGGCAGGGCUCUGGGUAAAGGAGAGCCCUCCUCCAUGUUGGUGGGAGUGUAGACUGGUACAACCACUGUGGAAAUCAGUGUGGCGAUUGCUCAGAAAAUAGGCUUAGAAGUUGCAUUUGACCCAGCCAUUCUCCUUCUGGGUGUUUUCCCAAAAGAAUUGAAAACAUCAUACCACAAUGACAUAUGUGCACCCAUGUUUAUAGCAGCACAAUUUGCAAUAACUUAAUCUUGGAAACAACCCAAAUUCCUAUCAACUGAGGAACAGAUAAAAAGAUGUGAUACUUUUAUACAAUGGAGUACUACUCAACCAUAAUGAAGGAUAAACUAGAGGCUUUUAUAGUAAAUGGAUGCAACUAGAAACCAUACUUAUAGUUGAAACAAAUCAGACUUGCAUGUGUAAACACCAUAUUGCCUCAUUAACAUAUGAAAUUGAAAGUAAAUAAGAUUCAAAAGUUGAAAGAAAUUGCUCAAUGGGAAAAAAUAUUGUUUGAUCAAUCUUGCAUGCCUGUAUCUGGUAACAUGAGCAAAUAUUUUGAAGAUAGCAAUAUGCAAUAUAACAACCAUUGUUAAAUUCCUAUCACUUUGUUCUGAAAACCAUAUCAUUAUUGGCUUUUAAUUGUUGCUGAUUUUGGCCUUUUUAAAAAUUUGUUCAAUUGAUUUUUGAUUUUCGUGUGUUUUUUCCCUUUAAAUUUUUUUUUAAAAAUAAAAAAAAAUGAAAUUA